CAGCAGUGGGGAAUAUUGCACAAUGGGGGAAACCCUGAUGCAGCCAUGCCGCGUGUGUGAAGAAGGCCUUCGGGGUUGUAAAGCACUUUCAGUAGGGAGGAAGGUAGUGUAGUUAACACCUGCAUUAUUUGACGUUACCUACAGAAGAAGCACCGGCUAACUCCGUGCCAGCAGCCGCGGUAAUACGGAGGGUGCGAGCGUUAAUCGGAAUUACUGGGCGUAAAGCGCAUGCAGGCGGCCUGUUAAGUCAGAUGUGAAAGCCCGGGGCUUAACCUCGGAAUUGCAUUUGUAAACUGGCAGGCUAGAGUCUUGUAGAGGGGGGUAGGAAUUUCAGGUGUAGCGGUGAAAUGCGUAGAGAUCUGAAGGAAUACCAGUGGCGAAGGCGGCCCCCUGGACAAAGACUGACGCUCAGAUGCGAAAGCGUGGGGAGCAAACAGGAUUAGAUACCCUGGUAG
rnacentral:rRNA from 1 species